rnacentral:rRNA from 1 species
UACGUAGGGUGCGAGCGUUAAUCGGAAUUACUGGGCGUAAAGCGUGCGCAGGCGGCGCGUUAAGACAGGUGUGAAAGCCCCGAGCUUAACUUGGGAAUUGCGCUUGUGACUGGCGUGCUGGAGUGUGGCAGAGGGAGGUGGAAUUCCACGUGUAGCAGUGAAAUGCGUAGAGAUGUGGAGGAACACCGAUGGCGGAAGGCAGCCUCCUGGGAUAACACUGACGCUCAUGCACGAAAGCGUGGG